GGCUUGGUGGUAUAAUGGUUAACAUGCCUGCUUUAAAUGUUUCUGUGAUUUUGUACUCAUUUACAAUGGGAGAUUCCUUGUUCGAGUCAAGGCCAGGCCG